UGUUUGGGAGAUGCUCUGCACAUUACAUCGAGGUCUUGUAGGUAUUAAUGUAAUAAGUUUUUGUACUCACGUUGAACUCGUUUGUGCAGGUUGCGGGGUUGAAGUUCGAGCAAGUUCGAGCAUCGGAGUGGUAAGGGCUGCAAUCAUGGUCCUCCUUGCGAGUGGCAGGUUUACAAGGCUUGUCUCCUAAACCUCCAUGGUUGGCGCGGGUUCUUUCUCCAGCACUCUUGGUGGAAGCCAUGGUGUUGGUCGUGUAUAUUACAAAGGUCGACAAGGCGACUACUACGUCAUGGUCAUGGAUAUGCUCGGGCCAAGUCUCCGGGAUGUCUAGAACUCUUCGGGGUCAAGCGCAAGUAUUUAGGGCAGCUCGUUCUGAUUGAGCAGGUAUGCACAUGGAGACGUGAAGCCCGAGAACUUUCUCCUGGGACAACCCAAUACACCUGAAGAGAAGAAGCUUUUUCAUAUACAUCUCAGGCUUGGUGAGUU